UACGAAGGGGGCUAGCGUUGCUCGGAAUCACUGGGCGUAAAGCGCACGUAGGCGGAUCUUUAAGUCAGGGGUGAAAUCCCGGAGCUCAACUCCGGAACUGCCUUUGAUACUGGAGAUCUUGAGUCCGGGAGAGGUGAGUGGAACUGCGAGUGUAGAGGUGAAAUUCGUAGAUAUUCGCAAGAACACCCGUAGCGAAGGCGGCACUCUGGGCCGAUACUGGCACUGAGGAGCGAAAGCGUGGGGAGCGAACAGG
rnacentral:rRNA from 1 species